rnacentral:rRNA from 1 species
GAUGAACGCUAGCGGCAGGCCUAAUACAUGCAAGUCGAACGGUUUGUAGCAAUACAGAUAGUGGCGCACGGGUGCGUAACACGUAACUAACCUGCCCAAGACUGGGGGAUAGCCCGCCGAAAGGCGGAUUAAUACCGCAUAACACUUUUGAGUGGCAUCACUUAAUAGUUAAACCUGAGGGGGUCUUGGAUGGGGUUGCGGGUCAUUAGCUAGUUGGUUAGGUAACGGCUGACCAAGGCGACGAUGACUAGGGGAGCUGAGAGGCUGGUCCCCCACACGGGCACUGAGAUACGGGCCCGACUCCUACGGGAGGCAGCAGUAGGGAAUAUUGGGCAAUGGGCGAGAGCCUGACCCAGCCAUGCCGCGUGCAGGAAGAAGGCUUUCUGAGUCGUAAACUGCUUUUGAUAGGGAAGGAUAACCUGUACGUGUACAGGGAUGACGGUACCUACAGAAUAAGCACCGGCUAACUCCGUGCCAGCAGCCGCGGUAAUACGGAGGGUGCGAGCGUUGUCCGGAUUUAUUGGGUUUAAAGGGUGCGUAGGCGGCCCGUUAAGUCCGGGGUGAAAGCCCGUUGCUCAACAACGGAACUGCCCUGGAUACUGGCGGGCUUGAGACUAGUGGAGGUU